UUGAGGUAGACUGUACGGUGGUGUACAAAAGGCAGAGGCUGGGACUAGAAAGAGGUGCCUAAGGAGAGCAGCUGUGAGAAAUUUACAAGGCAUCUGGACCCCUAUGAGCAGUGCCAAGUUAAGGCUGGAAACCACAUAUUGGUACCUGUUCCCACUUGUGAUUAAUUAAUGCUCUCCCAUAAAGCAGAAGCCAACCCUCAGAAGCAGAGAAAACACAUCUGUAUCCUCAAUACCUUGAACAACUGUUGGCAUAUCAACAGGCCCUCAAUAAAUAUUUCUUGAAUGAGCAAAUAAACACAAAGUUUACACUGAUCUAGAACCCGGGAGGGGUGAGGUGGUUGGGACCAAAGAAUGAAAGAUAAAGGUGACUGAGGGUGUGGCAAGUGUCUUGAGAUCACUGUCCAUGAAGUCCACGGUGGACAGGGAAAGACGCGAAGGCAGACUGGAAGUGUAGUGGACCCAAACUAGGUGAUACAACAUUGAAGAAUGAAUGGCAGUUUAUAGGUGUUUAGAAAAUGUGUGGGUUCUGGCCUGUUGCGAGGCGAGGUUUUCAUCAUAUAGACAGACAAGCCCUUCUGCAAAGAUGGUCAACGUGCCUAAAACCUGACAAACCUUCUGUAAGAAGUGUGGCAAGCAUCAGCCUCACAAAGUGACACAGUAGAAGAAGGGCAAGGAUUCCUUGGAUGCCCAGGGAAAGAGGCGCUAUGAUCGGAAGCAGAGUGGCUAUGGUGGGCAGACAAAGCCAAUUUUCCGGAAGAAGGCUAAGACCACAAAGAAGAUCGUGCUCCGGCUGGAAUGUGUUGAGCCUAACUGCAGAUCCAAGAGGAUGCCGGCCAUUAAGAGAUGCAAGCAUUUUGAACUGCUGGAGAUAAGAAGAGAAAGGGCCAAGUGAUCCACUUCUAAACUUUGGAAUUUUUUCUUUUAAUAUUGGAAAGAAAAUGUUGAAGCCAUAGAAAAAUUACCUGUAGGAAAAUAAAUACAGUGAUAUUCUUACGCAAAGAAAAAAAAUGUUCUGAAAUGAAAGCAGCAGAUCUGUAGAGGAAAAGAACUACAUGACAGAAGACCAAGGUUCAAGUGAUUCUCCUGAGGCCGGUAUUUUGAGAUGCUGUAUGCCUGUAGUCCUAGCUAUUUGGGAGAGACUAAGGUGGGAGGAUCUCUGGAGUCUAGGAGUUCAAGACUGCAGUGAGGUAUGAUCUCGCCAUGUAUAGUAGCUUGUGUGAUACAUCAAGACCCUGUCUCUAAAAAAUAACUUAGGAUGCUCGCUUCGGCAGCACAUAUACUAAAAUUGGAACCAUACAGAGAAGAUUAGCAUGGCCCCUGCGCAAGGAUGACAGGCAAAUGCAUGAAGCUUUCCAUAUUAAAAAAAAAAAAAACAGGAAAGACAACAAAAAUAUGGGCAAAAUAAGCAGUUAUAAUAGAGGACAAUGGCAUUAUACAUACAUGCACACACGUAUACCUAUAUAUCUCUGUAUACGCACACAUGUAUAUGCGUGUAUGUAUAACUUUUGGUUAUCUUUUAUGCUGACAAAAUUUAAAUGACCAGCCCAGGCUUGGUGGCUUACGCCUGUAAUCCCUGCACUUUGGGAGGCUGAGGUGGGCGGAUCACUUGAGGUUAAGAGUUCGAGGCCAGCCUGGUCAACAUAUAGUGAAACCUUGUCUCUCCUAAAAAAAAAUAAAGGCUGGAUGCAGUGGCUCAUGCCUGUAAUCACAGCACUUUGGGAGGCCAAGGUAGAUGGAUCACGGAGUCAAGAGAUCAAGACCAUGCUGGCCAACAUGGUGAAACCCCAUCUCUACUAAAAAUACAAAAAUUAGCUGGGUGUGGUGGCACACACCUAUAGUCCCAACUACUUGGGAGGCUGAAGCAGGAGAACUGCUUGAACCAGGAGGUUGCAGUGAGCUGAGAUUGUGCCACUGCAUUCUAGCCUGGUGACAGAGCUACACUCUAAAAAAAUGAAAAAUAAAAAAUAAAAUCAAUGACCACUAAUAUCUAAUAUCAAGUAUUAGGGAAGUAUGGGCAAAUGGCUAUGGUAUUCUUUUUUUUUUUUUAAAGAUGGGGUUUGCCAUGAUGGCCAGGCUUGAACUCCUGACC